GGAUGGGUGGCCGAGUGGUUUAAGGCGCACGCCUGGAACGCGUGUGGGUGUCACAGCCUCGUGGGUUCGAAUCCCACCCCAUCCGCCA
rnacentral:tRNA from 1 species